rnacentral:rRNA from 1 species
AGCUAAUAGAUACCCAGGUAGUCCACGCCGUAAACGAUGAUAACUAGCUGUCGGGGGUCAUGGACUUUCGGUGGCGCAGCUAACGCAUUAAGUUAUCCGCCUGGGGAGUACGGCCGCAAGGUUAAAACUACAAAGAAAUUGACGGGGGCCGUGCACAAGCCGUGGAGCAUGUGGUUUAAUUCGAAGCAACGCGCAGAACCUUACCAGCGUUUGACAUCCUGAUCGCGGUUACCAGAGAUGGUUUCCUUCAGUUCGGCUGGAUCAGUGACAGGUGCUGCAUGGCUGUCGUCAGCUCGUGUCGUGAGAUGUUGGGUUAAGUCCCGCAACGAGCGCAACCCUCGUCUUUAGUUGCCAUCAUUUAGUUGGGCACUCUAAAGAAACCGCCGGUGAUAAGCCGGAGGAAGGUGGGGAUGACGUCAAGUCCUCAUGGCCCUUACGCGCUGGGCUACACACGUGCUACAAUGGCGGUGACAACGGGCUGCUACCUCGCGAGGGGAAGCUAAUCCCAAAAAGCCGUCUCAGUUCGGAUUGUUCU